rnacentral:misc_RNA from 1 species
GUCCAUUGCCGACCUUGGCCGCGCCUGCGGCAUCGCAACCGAUACCGCGGGCAGAUGCAGGUGCCGACGCGAGCGCCACGGAUACUAUUGCUGCGCCAAGUAUGAUCUUGAUCAUUUUUCAGUUUCCCAUGUUCGCCUGACAGGAUUGUGAGGCGCAAAACAAUUGCCUCAAUCCGCUAUUGCCGACGAACACAAGCUGUUGCGCUCUCAGGAACUUGAUCGAUGGAGAGACGGCGUGAAGGCAGUGCUAAGCAAAUCCGUUGCGACGGUCAGCCGAUCUUUUUCAGGCCCGCCUUGAAGC